rnacentral:lncRNA from 11 species
AAUUUCUGAGAUGCCUGCCAUAGAUGUGGGCGAAACGUCAGGAGGGAAUGCUUCUGGAACAUGGCCAUACAGCCCGAAAAACUCAGCAUCCCAAUGAUUCCGGCCAUGAAAGCCUUUCACAACACAUUGGACGAGAGAGUGCUUCUGUCUAGGCUAAGUGCGCAUGUGUGCUUCUGCCCAGGCUCGGCGCGCAUGCGCACAAACAAUGCCGCCAAAUUUGACGCCCUUUUCGCUCCCUGUCUGAGGUGAAGGCAUUAUUGGUCAAAAUGGCGGCGGGUGCUGCUCCCUCAGCGGAGCCUUUGGUUUGCGCGCGGUUCCACCUUCGGCACGACUCCCGCUGGCUGGUGGCGCUCUCGCCUUCGCCGCCGCUGUGCUUGGCCUGCGCCCUGGAGACGCUGGAGGAAGGCGGUGUCUCGCAAGUACGCAAGAAGCAUGUGCUCUCCUGCCUUCAAGAUGCUCUGUUUCAGCAUGCAACACUGGUCAUCCCAUUGUUUGCCCAAGAUGAAAGAGUAUGCGCUCAUUUCUUAGCAACUUUGUUUGAGCUCUUGCAAACUAUGGAAAAUAGUAGUGCUCUGGAUUUAUCAAUUGAAGUGUUGGUGAUAUUGGUAGUAGAACUGAAGUUGGAUCGCUACUUGCACUAUUUACUAGAUGAAUGCCAGAAAAAGUUAUUCAAGAUAACCACUGUAAGAGGUAGUUUACCUAUAUUUAUUCUUCUUGGAAAGUUGGCAGAUGCCAUUCCAAGUUUUGCUGAUGUAUUGGUGAUUGAACACAGUAACAUGAUGGAACAUCUGGUGACUGGUCUGACAUACCCCGGUGAGAACAUCAAAGCUGCUGUAUGUUAUCUUUAUGGCAAGCUGUAUUCUGUUCCCAGUGCUGCAGAGAGGCUUUGUGUACACUUCACAGAGAGGCUAUGUGAUCUUUUUCUGGCUACUCUAAAGAAUGCACAGGCCAGGGAGCUGCAGCUUAAUUGUAUAGGCUUGUUAAGGCAGCUGCUGAAGUAUGAUUACUGUGUUUCUGUUAUUAUGAGUUAUUCAAGGAAAGGAGUAGAUUCUGCAAGCCCUGAGUUGUUUGAAGGAGACCAUCCAUUACCUCUAAUGCUCAAGAAGUUAUUAUUGUCAAGAGAUGAGAUAUUACAGAUAGCAAGUGCUCAGUGUAUAUCUGCUGUAUUGGUACACUCUCCAGCAAAAUAUGCUUCUGUUUUUAUUCAUGCAGAUAUUCCAGAGUUCCUGUUUGAGUGUCUCUUCUGCAUGAGUGAAAUUCUCAUCUGGUCAAUUUAUUGCUGCUUACUGCUCCUGACUGAGGAACAGCUUUUCUUUUCCAAGUGCUACACUGUCUAUGGUAAAUCUUCACUUUCCACAGCCUGACAGAUUUGCUGUUAUAUUAUUCAGUCCCUGCACAGUUGUUGUUUUCUCUGAAAUUGCCACCUUAUGUUCAUUCACUUUUUAUAGAGGGUGCUUCCAGUAAAGGAUUUUAUCCUGUAGUCUUCUGCCAUUAUUCAUAGAAUUUGUGGAGGAAGAACAAGACGUUGUUUUUCCAUUUGCAGUCCCUCUAUGUUUUCCCACGGAUUUGCCUAUUUCACUAUUUCCCAAUAAAACCCUUUAUAUUUUUUCCCCCUGGAUAAUUGUGCAGCUCCGAUAUUUGAGUUGUUCUCGUGAGACUCCCAUUUGGUGGCUUCAACUCAGAGCAAGUUCACAGUUGUGUAGUUAAUCACUUCAGCUUUUCCCCAGUACACAAGCACGGUCUCUCCA